rnacentral:sRNA from 1 species
GCUGGGUGUGGUGGCUCACACCUGUAAUCCAAGCACUUUGGAGGCCAGGGUGGGCGGAUCACCUGAGGUUGGGAUUUCAAGACCAGCCUGACCAACAUGGUGAAACCGUGUCUUAAAAAAUAAUAAAAAAAUAAAAAAGAUGGGGUUUCACCAUGAUUGCCAGGCUGGUCUUGAACUCCUUACCUCAGGUGAUCCACCCACCUC